rnacentral:siRNA from 1 species
UGUGCUAUAUUACGGACCCAA